GAUCACCUACGGGGCGCAGCAGUGAGGAAUAUUGGUCAAUGGCCGAGAGGCUGAACCAGCCAAGUCGCGUGAGGUAAGACGGCCCUACGGGUUGUAAACCUCUUUUGUCGGGGAGCAAAGCGAGUCACGUGUGACUCAUUGAGAGUACCCGAAGAAAAAGCAUCGGCUAACUCCGUGCCAGCAGCCGCGGUAAUACGGAGGAUGCGAGCGUUAUCCGGAUUUAUUGGGUUUAAAGGGUGCGCAGGCGGAGGUGCAAGUCAGCGGUCAUAUUGCGGUGCGCAACCCCGUACUGCCGUGGAAACUGG
rnacentral:rRNA from 1 species